rnacentral:rRNA from 1 species
GACGAACGCUGGCGGCGUGCUUAACACAUGCAAGUCGAACGGAAAGGCCCUGCUUUUGUGGGGUGCUCGAGUGGCGAACGGGUGAGUAACACGUGAGUAACCUGCCCUUGACUUUGGGAUAACUCCAGGAAACUGGGGCUAAUACCGGAUAGGAGCUCCUGCUGCAUGGUGGGGGUUGGAAAGUUUCGGCGGUUGGGGAUGGACUCGCGGCUUAUCAGCUUGUUGGUGGGGUAGUGGCUUACCAAGGCUUUGACGGGUAGCCGGCCUGAGAGGGUGACCGGCCACAUUGGGACUGAGAUACGGCCCAGACUCCUACGGGAGGCAGCAGUGGGAAAUAUUGCGCAAUGGGCGGACGCCUGAUGCAGCGACGCCGCGUGCGGGAUGACGGCCUUCGGGCUGUAAACCGCUUUCGCCUGUGACGAAGCGUGAGUGACGGUAAUGGGUAAAGAAGCACCGGCUAACUACGUG